rnacentral:rRNA from 1 species
UACGUAGGGGGCAAGCGUUGUCCGGAAUCAUUGGGCGUAAAGAGCGUGUAGGCGGCCAAACAGGUCCGUUGUGAAAACUGGAGGCUCAACUUCCAGACGUCGACGGAAACCGUGUGGCUAGAGUCCGGAAGAGGAGAGUGGAAUUCCUGGUGUAGCGGUGAAAUGCGCAGAUAUCAGGAAGAACACCAAUGGCGAAGGCAGCUCUCUGGGACGGUACUGACGCUGAGGAGCGAAAGCGUGGGGAGCAAACAGG